AGAGCGAACGCUGGCGGCAGGCCUAACACAUGCAAGUCGAACGGACCCUUUGGGGUUAGUGGCGGACGGGUGAGUAACACGUGGGAACGUGCCUUUUGGUUCGGGAUAGCUCCUGGAAACGGGUGGUAAUGCCGAAUGUGCCCUUCGGGGGGAAAGAUUUAUCGCCAUUAGAGCGGCCCGCGUCUGAUUAGCUAGUUGGUGAGGUAAAGGCUCACCAAGGCUACGAUCAGUAGCUGGUCUGAGAGGAUGACCAGCCACAUUGGGACUGAGACACGGCCCAAACUCCUACGGGAGGCAGCAGUGGGGAAUCUUGCGCAAUGGGCGAAAGCCUGACGCAGCCAUGCCGCGUGAAUGAUGAAGGUCUUAGGAUUAGUAAAAUUCUUACGACCGGGACGAUAAUGACCGGUACCGGAGAAGAAGCCCCGGCUAACUCGUGCCAGCAGCCGC
rnacentral:rRNA from 1 species